rnacentral:rRNA from 1 species
UACAGAGGGUGCGAGCGUUAAUCGGAAUUACUGGGCGUAAAGCGUGCGUAGACGGUAGCGUAAGUCAGAUGUGAAAGCCCCGGGCUCAACCUGGGAACUGCAUUUGAGACUGCUCUGCUCGGGUGCGGAAGAGGGAAGCGGAAUUUCCGGUGUAGCGGUGAAAUGCGUAGAUAUCGGAAGGAACGCCGGUGGCGAAAGCGAUCCGCUGGACCUCUUCUGACGCUGAGGCGCGAAAGCCAGGGGAGCAAAGCGGG